CAACGUCGCCUGGACAAUUCCGUAAUGGAUGUCACGCCAUUCGUGGAGAAGUAGAGCAUUCUGUCAUGAAGUGGAGAAGCAAGGCACACCUCACAGCUCACUUCACAAGCUCACCGACUCCGAUGUGAACAAUGAACAAGGGUAUUUAUUACCAAGAAAAGGGUGUCAGGUCCACAGUCCUCGUGAUUCAGGAGCAGAUGUCCCUCAGAGGCCAGGGGCAAUUGAAUCAAGAAAGACACAAACUGGAGAUCAAACCAGUACUAGGCCACAUGUUAAUAAAAGAGCGUGUUUACUGUGGAAGAACCCCAGACUCUGCUCACCACGAGGAGCCAGUUAAAGACACCGGUGAUGGCAGUGAAGGUCACCAGCCAUGCGCCUCUGAAUGCCAUGCCACGGGGACAAAGCAGCCCUGAGGAUGUGGCCUGUGCGCUCCAGGAUCCAAAUCUAACCAUGAGGACGUGUUUUCAAAGACAGUCAGGAACACUCUGAAACCCUUGUUCUCAGCCAGGAGUCAGGGAAGGCCCAGGAAGGAGGUCUUGGAAACUAAAUGCCGGGGCUGGAGUUGUGGCUCAACGGUAUAAAUAAAACAAAUGUAAUGUGUCUAACUACAACUAAAAAA